rnacentral:lncRNA from 1 species
AAUUAAUAGGGGGCAGCUGCACUAAACUUGACCAAGCAUAUCGGACUCCUGAAAAGUGUGAAGCUGCAACAGAAAUAACAUUUUAUUAGGAAUUCAUCAGAGGUAGCAUAAACCUAUGGUUAUGAAAUACAGACCACUAUUGAGCCUGGACACCUCCUUGAAUAUUGUAAAUUCUUGCAACGGACUAGUAUUAAACAUGGGGUCCGUGAGCUAUGAAAUAGUGCCUAUUUACAUUGAAAAUUGAAAGCAUGACAGACUAUCUAGCAAGGAUUGAAGGGUUAGCAGCUUAUAAGAAGAAAAUUCUGAAGUUUUGAUGGUCCAUUGACAUCUAACAGCAAAUACUAAUUGCAUAGUAGAAUAGUAGUUGGCGCAUGAACCAGAAUCAAUUGUGCUGGUGAAUGAAUUGCAUUGCACAAAGACGGCAGCAACAGCAUCGGGGCAUCAACGACAGAAGGGCCAAGAUCAGAGAGAGAGAGAGAGAGAGAGAGAGAGAGAGAGAGAGAGAGAGAGAGAGAGAGACUAGUGCUACCAAGGUCAAAAUCAUACAUCUGCACGCACGGCGGUGAAGAGGAGGGCAGCAACAGCAAGCCUCCAAAGCCCUCAGGCCGGAGCGGCGCGAAUCCUGAAGGUGCAGACGGAGGAAAGAUGCGGGCUGGGGACGCGCCGAGCGGCGCAAGCCUCCGAAAGUGCGGCGCUAGGGAAGGAGCCGCCGAUUCAGCCGCCCUGAUCUGGCAAGUAGCUCCGGAGCUAGGGUUCCGCCGGCAGGUGCGCAGACUGGCAAUUUAGGAG